AAAAACAACAGCCAUAGAGGGGUUAUAAACCACAUUUCUGAUUGUUAAGCAGACAAAGUAAGCAGGAACUGCAGCCAACGUAGCAGGUUGAUGGCACUACAUAUAAUGAACCCAACAAGGAAAGCAUAGGAAUGCUUUAAACUCUUGGAUUGUCCCUCAGGCACUGGCGUUAAGAUAUUAGAAUUUGCUAGCUAAGGAGCAAAACGUGCACAGACGUAUUUCGCAUCAUUCACAAUGACAGAGUAUCUUUUGCCAGAAGGAUGACUAUUGCAUUGCAAUCAACCUCACCAUUACCUUCUGUUUUACUGGAAACAUCCAGAACAGUCAGAUGACAGUCAUCAUGGAAGACUUGAGGAUGGUGGUCUAGUCUAACCCUAAGAAAGAUUUGAUUUGAUUUGAUCUUGGGGUCUUUCAGAGUACUAAUAGUGUUUAUGGCAUGGCUAGAUUAAAGUCUUCAAGCAUCUAGUUGCUCAUGUUACCCUACUACAAGGAAAGAAAUUCUGAAGCUGCAAGGUUAGAAUUACAGUAGGAAGUUGGAAUGUAAGAGAAUGAACACAGGAAAGUUCAAUACAGUGGAAAAUGAAAUGAAACAUCUACAAACUGACAGCAUCGCUGAAUUGUAUGGAUUUGGAUCAGACACUUUCAGUCAGAAGAUCUUC